rnacentral:rRNA from 1 species
UGGUUCCUACGGGAGGCAGCAGUGAGGAAUAUUGGUCAAUGGACGGAAGUCUGAACCAGCCAUGCCGCGUGCAGGAAGAAGGUGCUAUGCAUUGUAAACUGCUUUUAUACGGGGGUAAUUACAGAUACGUGUAUCUGGAUGAAAGUACCGUAUGAAUAAGAAUCGGCUAACUCCGUGCCAGCAGCCGCGGUAAUACGGAGGAUCCGAGCGUUAUCCGGAUUUAUUUGGUUUAAAGGGUGCGUAGGCGGUCAGGUAAGUUAGAGGUGAGAGCUCGAUGCUCAACAUCGAAACUGCCUCUGAUACUG